AGAGUUUGAUCCUGGCUCAGGACGAACGCUGGCGGCGUGCCUAACACAUGCAAGUCGAGCGAUGAAAUCCUUCGGGAUGGAUUAGCGGCGGACGGGUGAGUAACACGUGGGUAACCUACCUCAAAGAGGGGGAUAGCCUCCCGAAAGGGAGAUUAAUACCGCAUAACAUUAGUUUUUCGCAUGAAGAACUAAUUAAAGGAGUAAUCCGCUUUGAGAUGGACCCGCGGCGCAUUAGCUAGUUGGUGAGGUAAUAGCUCACCAAGGCGACGAUGCGUAGCCGACCUGAGAGGGUGAUCGGCCACAUUGGAACUGAGAUACGGUCCAGACUCCUACGGGAGGCAGCAGUGGGGAAUAUUGCACAAUGGGCGAAAGCCUGAUGCAGCAACGCCGCGUGAGUGAUGAAGGCCUUCGGGUUGUAAAGCUCUGUCUUU
rnacentral:rRNA from 1 species